GAUGAACGCUGACAGAAUGCUUAACACAUGCAAGUCGAUUCAAGUUACCUUCGGGUAAUGAGGAUGGCGGACGGGUGAGUAACGCGUAAGGAACUUGCCUCUUGGUCUGGGACAACUGUUGGAAACGACAGCUAAUACCGGAUAUUAUGAGAUUCUCGCAUGGGAAACUUAUGAAAGCUAUAUGCGCCAAGAGAGAGCCUUGCGUUCCAUUAGCUAGUUGGUGGGGUAAUGGCCCACCAAGGCGACGAUGGAUAGCCGGCCUGAGAGGGUGAACGGCCACAAGGGGACUGAGACACGGCCCUUACUCCUACGGGAGGCAGCAGUGGGGAAUAUUGGACAAUGGGCCACAAGCCUGAUCCAGCAAUUCUGUGUGCACGAUGAAGGUCUUCGGAUUGUAAAGUGCUUUCAGUUGGGAAGAAGAAAGUGACGGUACCAACAGAAGAAGCGACGGCUAAAUACGUGCCAGCAGCCGCGGUAAUACGUAUGUCGCAAGCGUUAUCCGGAUUUAUUGGGCGUAAAGCGCGUCUAGGCGGAAAAAUAAGUCUGAUGUUAAAAUGCGGGGCUCAACUCCGUAUUGCGUUGGAAACUGUUUUUCUAGAGUACUGNAGAGGUGGGCGGAACUACAAGUGUAGAGGUGAAAUUCGUAGAUAUUUGUAGGAAUGCCGAUGGAGAAGUCAGCUCACUGGACAGAUACUGACGCUGAAGCGCGAAAGCNUGGGG
rnacentral:rRNA from 1 species